rnacentral:rRNA from 1 species
GAACUAACAAGGAUUCCCCUAGUAACGGCGAGUGAAGCGGGAAGAGCUCAAAUUUGAAAUCUGGCGGUCUACGGCCGUCCGAGUUGUAGUCUAGAGAAGUGUUUUCCGUGCUGGACCGUGUACAAGUCCCUUGGAAUAGGGCGUCGUAGAGGGUGAGAAUCCCGUCUCUGACACGGACUACCAGUGCUCUGUGAUGCACUCUCGAAGAGUCGAGUUGUUUGGGAAUGCAGCUCAAAAUGGGUGGUAAAUUCCAUCUAAAGCUAAAUAUUGGUGGAAGACCGAUAGCGAACAAGUACCGUGAGGGAAAGAUGAAAAGCACUUUGGAAAGAGAGUUAAACAGUACGUGAAAUUGUUGAAAGGGAAACGCUUGAAGUCAGUCGCGUCCUUCGAGAUUCAGCUUGGCCUUGGCCUGGUGUAUUUCUUGUUGGACGGGCCAGCAUCAAUUUUGACCACUGGAUAAAGGCAGGGGGAAUGUGGCACCUCCGGGUGUGUUAUAGCCCCUUGUUGUAUACAGUGGUUGGGAUUGAGGUCUGCAGCACGCCUUUAUUGGCCGGGGUUCGCCCACGUUACGUGCUUAGGAUGCUGGCGUAAUGGCUUUAAGCGACCCGUCUAGA